rnacentral:rRNA from 1 species
UACGGGGGGGGCAAGCGUUGUUCGGAAUUACUGGGCGUAAAGGGUUCGUAGGUGGCCUGCUAAGUCAGACGUGAAAUCCCUCAGCUUAACUGGGGAACUGCGUCUGAGACUGGUGGGCUUGAGUGCAGGAGAGGAACGCGGAAUUCCAGGUGUAGCGGUGAAAUGCGUAGAUAUCGAGAGGAACACCUGCGGCGAAGGCGGGUUGCUGGGCUGACACUGACGCUGAGGCGCGAAAGCUAGGGGAGCGAACGGG